GCGGACGUAGCUCAGUUGGUAGAGCGAGAGCUUCCCAAGCUCUAGGUCGCGGGUUCGAGACCCGUCGUCCGCUCCA
rnacentral:tRNA from 2 species